AGGUGGUAAGUUUUUAAAAUUUAAACAUAAUCUUCUAUAUACAUAGAGACAAGUGGGGUAAUUGUAAAUGUAUUUUUCUCCAGGAAUAUUUAGCAGCUUUUAUUUUAUUUUAAAAGUUCUGGUUCUUAUAUGUGUUACUAUCAUAUUAAAUAUAACAUCAAAAUAUAAUUAUGUGUAUUUAUCAUUUAAAAUACAUUUACAACUAACCCCAAUUUACCAUAAAUUUGGAUUUAAAAAAAACUUAAAUUGUAGAUUACAAUGAUUUACAUUUUUAUCAAUUUCAGCUUGCAAUUACUGUGGCCAAGGAGGCCACAUUGAAAAAAAUUGUCACAUAAAAGCUGCUGGUCUGCCGCCUCCUAUUCCCAAAAUGUGUACAUACUGUGGUCUCCCCGGGCACGGGGAAAUGGUAUGUCACGUUAAAGCAGCUGGAUAUCCUCCUGUAAAAAAAAAAAUUUGUGAACAUUGCCAUUUCCCCGGGCACGGGGAACAAGAGUGCCACAUUAAAGCAGCAGGAUUGCCGCCGCCGCCAUCAAAUAUAAAUGAAUAAAAAUAAAAAAUUAUUUAAAAAAAAAAAUGUUGCC